UACGAAGGGGCUAGCGUUGCUCGGAAUCACUGGGCGUAAAGGGUGCGUAGGCGGGUCUUAAGUCAGGGGUGAAAUCCUGGAGCUCAACUCCAGAACUGCCUUUGAUACUGAAGAUCUUGAGUUCGGGAGAGGUGAGUGGAACUGCGAGUGUAGAGGUGAAAUUCGUAGAUAUUCGCAAGAACACCAGUGGCGAAGGCGGCUCACUGGCCCGAUACUGACGCUGAGGCACGAAAAGCGUGGGGGAGCAAACAGG
rnacentral:rRNA from 1 species